GGACUAAUUUUGUGGAACCAAACGAGACAAGAAUGGCGUGAAUGCAGAGCCAGACAACAAUGCCGAGUUCCAGAACCUGCAAUAAGCUGGAACUCGACGUACGAUAGCUUAUUGAGCACAAACAAACUUUUUCCUCGACCAAUCCCUCUUAAGGAAAUGGUGCAUUUCCUUGUUGAUGUUUGGGAGGAAGAAGGCUUAUACAUAUGACACGUCAAAACAAAACAAAAAAACCAAAUAAACACAAUUUAAUUGCUUUUGUCAAGUUCCAUGUGAUUAUUUUAUUUUGUUAAAAAAAAUCCAUAAUUUUACGAGGUGAACACUUGUUAAACUACUAACUGGAAUU